rnacentral:lncRNA from 1 species
UUAUCUGAACUGCAGAUUUGAAGGGACAGGUCCCCAACUAACUCUUUCAACUAAAAAUAAACAAAAUCUGAAUCAAUAAUAGUAAGCUGAGAUUCGUCCUCGAAAGAAGAGAACUCACUGCUACUGCUGCUGACUGGGACUGAACUACUGAGGUACAAUGGAUCCUGUGCCUCUGAACCUAUGGUGUCAAAUAAAAUACCAUAGAACAAAUGUGUCAGUACAGAAAUGUACCGAGUAUGUAGAUGAGGUAGGCUAAUGCAAGGGCUCAUACAUGCACAAUAUCUAAAGUGAAUAAUCAUGAAGAUGCCGUAUGAGAACACAUAUAUAAAUGCACAGACCAUGAACACAAUUAUCGCAACUCUAGAUACUGAAAAUUCGAUACCACUUUACUGUAGAUUGAACUCACUACUGGCACUGAGAUAUUGAAUCACUGACUCAUCUGAUACUGAUAACUGAGAGUCUAGACUUACUCAUAUCAAGGACUGAAUUCUGAGUUUACAGCUUUCAAUUGAUAGAAUUAGAGAUCAACUUUUCUAACAGAAUAUUCCAUAAGUGAUUAUCAAUAAUAAGAAGUAUGAUCAUGUAUGAAUCUGACAACAAGAAUACUCAACAGAAUCUGAGAUAGAGAUCAAGCCUAUUUGACGGGAGAUCUCUAGAUAUGAUAAUAAGAAUACUCAACAUGGUCAGAUACUGAGACCAAGCCUCUCUGACGGGAGAUCUCUAGAUAUGAUAAUAAGAAUCUGUAUAUGAGACCAAGCUUAUCUUGCGGGAUUGUCCAUGAAUCAAUGGAACUAUCUGAAUUCCUCACUGAGAUAGACAACUGUACCACACAGUCCUGAUUUCUGAAGAUUUAUACUGAAACUACAACUGUGGGAAGUAGUUACUUAACUGACAUGCCCAAACCUACCACAGGUAGGGUCUAACUGAAAGGGUGUCAAUACCAUUCCACAAGUAACAACCUCUCUGGUCAAGCCACUCUAACGGGAUAAACCUCGCAGGAAGUCGUCCUGAGGCAAUAUAAUAGUCAAACCACUCUGAUGGUGGUAGCCUCUACUGAUGGGAACUCCUGCAUCCUGCGCUGGCUACGCAGUUCUGGAGUUUAGGGAUUUCUCCUAGCAACUCAGCCUCUCUGAUGAGAGAGCCGCAGUCCCUUCUCUCGCUCGGUUCUAGCGUCUACUCACAACUAAAAGACUCUAAACUAAAUUCUCAACUGAACACAACUGAACUGAAUCUGAUACUGAUUAUGUUUCUCAAAAGAUCUCACAGAUUUACGCUGAGAUUACUUUAUUCCAUAUCUGAUGGAAAAGGUAUCGAAUCAUGGUAUUUGACUGAAGAUACAGAGCUUGAAUAGAUUACUCAAAUCACUUCUGAGAUUAGAAUUGAAUCACUUGAAUACUGUUAGAUCUAAGUUGAUUACAGGACUGAGGCUAGAUUACAAGUGAUACAGAGAUUACAAAGAUAACUGAGAUUAUUGAGCUUUCUUAAGUUCUACAUUUGUCUGAGGAUACAGAGUUCUAUAGUUCACUAAGUUCUGAGGAUCAUGGCUCGACUGGAAUUAUCGAGAAAUUGACAUGGGAUCUAGACAACAGCUCUAUUGUUGGGUAUAAAUACCCCCAGGACUCGAUAGUAUAAAAGUCAAGCAUAAUCAUUCAUUCAUCGUCACGAUCGUUCAUAUAUCAUCACAAUCAUUCAUGCAUCAUCAUGAUCAUUCAAGACAUCACCUCAAGUAUUUAAUGAUUACAAACAUCUUAUUCAUCAUCACAGUCGCCAAGGGGUCACUUUAAGAAUCUCGGAAACAUAAUCAUAUAAUUACAUAGGGGAAACAUGCUACUAGAUUGUACUCCAUUCAAUAAGGUCUUACCUCAACUAUUUCAUACCUAUAUCAAUCUUGACAUGUAUUUGGAUAUCACAUGGCUUGAGAAUACUUCAUACUAUCAUGGAAUAAUUCAUUCACUUUGGCAUUUUAUCAAACACUAGGCAUGCAUAAACUAACUCACAAUUUGGGGUUUCAUUUUCAACAUGCUACAAUGGCCCUUAUGCUUCACCUAAGCUCUUUAUCAAAACUAGGGGGAGCAUACUUUGCUUAUUCAACUAUUUCUACACCCAUUUGACAUGAACACAUCACAUAUAAAGCAACAUAAGGAAGAUUCAUCACAAAUAACACAUGGAUUCUAUCUACUAGGGUUAAGGCUCAUGAAUCUUGGAAACAAACAUGAAUCAAAACUCAACAACACAUUCAACAUCAAUUUCAACUCAUACAAAUCAUUAACAUCUCAUAAACAUAAAAAUCUUUGAGUUUUGAAAAGUGUUCUUAAGCUUCUUGGAGGAAAGGGACCCAAGAAUCAAUAUCUACAUACCUUAAUCUUUGAAAUUGAAUGGAUUCUAAUGAUUGAGACUCUAUCCGCACUUGUAAUAAAUAAAUAUCGAAGCCCACACUAUGAGGAACUUGAUUCUUGAAGAAUUAUGGAUGAAUUUUUGAAAGUUUAGGGUUCUUGAAUGAAACCCUAGUUAUAUCUUCUUAAGAGAAUUGAGAGAGAAUAUGGAGAAAUUAGGGUUUAGAGGUGGAUGCUCAUAUUUUUAAAGACCUCCAAAAGGUGGGAAAUGACCAAAAUACCCUUUCAAAAAUAUCCUUAAAUUGCUGAAAAAAUAGCUGACGACAUUCGUGACAAGCCGUCGAGUUGGUGAUAGGACGUCACGAAUUAUCAUCACAAAAGGGUAAAAUUUUGAGUUUCUGGUUAAGGUUGAUGACAUUGGUGUUAGGCUGUCACGGGCAUGAAGGCUUGUCACAAAAUGUCAUCACCAGGGUCAGAAGUCUGCCCAGGUCUGACGGCAUUGGUGAUAGCCCGUCACGGGAGUGAUGGCUUGUCACAAUUGUUGUUACCAGUUUCCCAGCCAGACUUGCUGGAGUAAAAUGGGCAUAACUCUUUUCUCCGAUAUCGAUUUUGAUAAAAUUGGUAUAGUUGGAAAGAUAAUUCAAAGAUAUUUCAUUUGAUAUAUAGUAGUUUCUCUAAUUCAAUAUAUACAAGGAGUUAUGGCUGAUUGAAUUUGACCUAAAUUUUGUCGGUCACUAAAACUUGAACGAUAGAAAGGAUUUCAACUCGUCCUUGAGUUAGGGGAUCUCUAUGAUCUUAAUUUAUGCUCAAAUAGAUUCCCAUACGAUUCAAAGUAUUUCAUACUUGGGAAGAUAUUUCUGAAAUAUUUAGACUCAAAUUUUCUCUUUACCAAAUAUGCUCUAAGGAUCAGACUAGAAGAGGAUUUUGCGGGGCAUUAAAUUAUCUCCCCCUUGGGAACAUUUGUCCUUGAAUGUCACUUGAUAGACUGAAAUAUGGAUCAAUAGAACCUACUCAAGAAAUGGAAAUAUUUCAAGGUAUACUUACGCAACUAGAAUAACUAACAUACUGAGUUCUCAUACUGGGCAUGAUUUAUAUUUGGUGCAUAUAAUACUCGACUGAUGAUAUUCAUAGCUAAAUUCUCAUAACACACAUAUAUAUCUAAUGCAUGGACUUAUAAAUGGGAUGAUCUCAAGAAUGCAUGACUGAUCACACACUGACAAGCUAAACUCAUUUCUACUAAAUGUGCAUAUCUAAUGCAUGAAUGUCCGGGUAAGUUGACUUUCGAAAGCAUGACUUGACAAUGUAAUAACGACUGAUGCUAACUUCAUAAAUAAAAUCUGAACAUGUAUCCGGAUGAAUCUAAUGGCAUGCAAUAUUAUAAUACUAUGCGGUAUCUCCCCCUUAGGACUCUAUGUCCUUCUAAACAUACUUUGCUGAAAUAUUGGGGCGGUGCGCGGGGCACCUACAGAUUGGGUCAUGAUUGACCGAUCAAGAUCUGAAACUCAUGCAUAACUCAUGCUAACAUAUAAACUCAACAUGGGAGCAAAGGAUCUAUCAAUGCAUGUCAUAAAGAUAAAGGGCUGAUAACAUACCCGGGUCUAUUUUAGGGAAUCCUUCCCAAUCAAGGGGAACCUGAAAUGCAUGGAGUUUACCCCUCUGAGUCAGCACUCUACAUUCUCGCAUUCUAUGGCCUGGGUCACCACAACCAAAAUACACAUAACUACUAGCUCUACACAUACCUUGGUGGCGCCUUCCACACUUUCCACAACGCGGAUGGGUACGAACACUACUAGUACUACUUUGGGCUUUGGAGCUUGGCGCUCCCUCAGAUCUGACACCCCCAAACAAGUGCAGGUACAUUAGCUGAAGAUGGAGCUGGAACUAAAAAUCUCUGACCAUACUGAGAACUAUUACCACCUUGAGACCCUGACUGCAAGAAACCACAACUACCUAUCUUGGCCCUCUUACUCACUCUCUCUCUUUCCUUCAUCUUAUCCAUCUUAAUCUUCUGUGCAUGAAUCAUUAGCCUAAAAUGAUCCAUAUCUCUAUUGAGCAUAGAAAAUCUAUACUCUUUCAACACUAACCUAGAUACACCAGUCACAAACUUACUCAUACUCGCUUUAGGGUCAGUUAUCAAGCCAGGAGCAUACUUAGCUAAUUGGUUAAAGUUAAGACAAUACUCUUUCACGAUCAUGGAACCUUGCCUUAGGUUCUUGAACUCUUCUACCUUAGCCUCUCUCAUCUCUAGUAGGAAAAACCUAUCUAGAAAGGAACUCUAAAACUCUAGCCAAGUCAUAGGAGCUGCAUUCUUCCUUUUACUCUUCUCCCACAUCACUACCCAAUCAUGAGCAAUAUCCUUCAACCUAUAAGAUGCUAACUCAACACUCUUCUUCUUAGAAACAUGAAUAAUCUGGGUGAUCUUCUUUACUUCCUCUAGAUAAAGAGGCGGGUCCUUACCUAGUACUGACCAAAAAAAUUCUGGCGGGUUUAUUUUUAUGAAACUUCUGAUUCUGACUGCGAUUGAGUCCCCAUCUUACUGAGGUGGGGCUGCAGUCUGAUGGUUGCCCUGAACACUUGUCACAUCUUGGGCUUGCACCUGAAAAGCUGCCCGAAACUCUGUAUGUGACCUACUCUCAUUCUCAGGAUCUACUGGCUGUGGAGGCUAGUCAUCCACCCCAUGGACAUAAUCUCUGUAAGGAGGCAUACUUUGUAAUUGGAAGAAAUAAGUGGAUUAGACUGAGAACCAACUUGAGCUCAUGCUCACUCGCAUGAAAUGGUCACUAAAAAAGAGGAACUGCUCCGAAAAAUAUCCUGUAGCCUCUUGUACAUAAAUAUGGCGCACUACCCACCCAUGCACAACUCUUUACAUGCGGCUUUUCAGACUUCCUAGGACACUCUUGAACCUUACGCUCUAAUACCAAGUUUCUAACGCCACGAGAUCCUAUCCCGGGAUGUCAAACGGUGCUUAUGACCCCGAAGGACCACAAGCUAACCCUUUACUGAUAUCUGUACCUGUACACUACAUGAUAUUUGAAAUAAAUGCGGAAACUAACCAUAAGGUUCAACACAUAUAUGAAUAUUCAUAAUAUAGAAAAACUGAAUACUAAUACAUCCAUCUGAAAAGCCUCUAAACUGUCUGAACUACAGAGUUGAAGUGACAAGUCCCCAACUAACUCCCUCAACUAAAAAUAAACAAAGUCUGAAGCAAUAAUAGUAAACUAAGAUUUAUCCUCGAAAGAAGAGGACUCAUUGCUACUGCUGCUGAAUGGGAUUGAACUGCUGGGGAUACUCUAGAUCCUGUGCCUCUGAACCUAUGGUGUCAAAUAAAACACCAUAGCAUAAAUGUAUUAGUACAAGAAUGUGAUGAUAGGCGAAAUUACGCGCCUAUAUCAAUAUAUUUUGCCCAUAUUUUAGCCUAGUUUCGAGAACUAAUUAUCUAUUUCGUACACUUUUAGUCCUUUUUCCUGUAAAUGAGCUAACAAAUGUGAUUAGGAAAGUUUCAGGUAUAAAUGAUGCAAAAUACAGCAAUUUAUGGCUUACUUGACGCAAAAGAAAGCUCACAAACGAGAUGGAAAGGAGCUGGACGCAUAAAGGACUAAAUCUGCUGCAUGGAAAAUCUGUCCCGGGCUAAAACAGCAUUUCUGAAGACUUUGGGACUUACAGACACAAAGCUGGAUUUUUGCCAUAAUACAUUAACCUAGUGCAAUUAGGUUAUGUGUUUCAUCAUUCUAUUUGGAUUAUAAUUUUGUAACCUUACCCUAGUACAAUUGGGUCAAGGAUUUCAUUAGUAUAUUAGGAUUUGGUUAUUUAUUUUAUUAGUUUAGUAGGAGUAGGAUAGGAGUAUUAUAAAUACCCUAUCAUGUUAGAGAUUUUAAAAAGAGAAGAAGGGAGACAUUCUGACAAUUCAUUCAUCUCCUUACAAUUAAGACAUCUUCCUACAACCCAUUCUCAAUUCUUCAUUCUUCUACUCUUAAAUUCCACAACAAGAGAAUCGUUACUUGCUACGGAAUCACUAAAACCACACGCCAAACACCUACUAUUCACGCCAUCCACCAUGCAAAACGUGAUAUCCUUCGCAUUCAUGGGUAACUAAAUCUCUUAGUUGGGGUUAUGGAAGCCGAAUGAGUUACUAUCUAUAGCUAUGAGUUUGUGAGUUCAAGACAAGUAUAUUGCUUAUAUCAUUAUUCUCUUCAUCUUAAAUCUACAUUCUUUGCGGUUCAAACACAAGAACACGCCAUUCUAACAUCUAACCUGUUCGAGAGAAAGGUUAUUUGUCUAGAAAAGAAGACGCAUAGACCAACGCCAGUCUAACAUCUGACUUGUUCGAGAGAAAAGUUAUUUGUCUGGAAAAGAGAUAAUGUCAAGGUAGUAGGACACCCUUUCCUAUUAAAAAGCUAGUGCCGUACCUGGACUAACUUCUUGGAGAAUUCGUACCGUUAGUCACGCUUUAAGCUCGAGAGAGUUAAAGUGAAAUAGUCCUUGUUUAGGUCGAGAGACGCUUGGAUUUACCAUCGACUACAAUUCUCUAUAAGCAAUUACAUGUCAAGACUCUACACACUCAUAGCCAAUAGAGACGUAUACCUCAGAAGGUGGACAUAACCCCAACGCCUCAAUUCUCAUUGUUUACAACACACGUGACAAUCUCUCUUUAUUUUGCUAUUUUCAGUUCUUACAUUCUUGUUUUGGUUACAUACUACAAUCCCCCCUUUCCUACGAGACUUGCACUAAAAGUCUAGUAAUUUCUCUUGCUUGUUGGCCAAGCUAUUCUCUGUGGGAUCGAUACCCAACCCAGGUUGGGUUCUAUAUUUGCUAACGACCGCUUUACACUCCCACGAGAGCUGUAGAUUGAGCGUUAUCAAAAAUUGGCGCCGUUGCCGGGGAAUACGAGUGUCAAUCAAGUUCGUGAAAAUUACUAGACCCUUUGGUCAAAGAUUCUCGUACUUUUACGUUUAGUUUUUGUUUUUGUUUAUUGCAGGUUUUUCUUUUAGUGCAUGCCCCAUACUAGAAGUUCUGGUCAACCGUUAUUACCAAUCAAUCCGGAACCACAACGAAUCAGAAGAAUGGAAGCACAAGCGGAAAUCGACAGGAUGGCUGCUCAACAUGAGCAAGCAAGAUUAGCUGCUCUUGCCGCUGCUCAAGUCCAACAACAAAACAUUGAUAAUCCUGGACGAGCAACAAAUCCUGACGAUGAAGAUUUAGGAGAUGACGAGUUGAUCAACCCAAGGCAUGGCGCUGAAAUGGCAACACCUACCAACAGACGAGGUCGACAAGCUCGGUACAGAUAUGAUCGCCAACCUUUGCAACCAGCUUUCGACGAUGAUGAUGAUGAUCUUGAUGGUGCCGGAGCCACUGGAGCUAUAAUUCCACCACCAUUAGCGCCCGGAGCCAAGUUCAACAUCACUAGCACCAUGAUUCAGUUAUUGCAACUCAAGGGAUUAUUUGGUGGACUAGCAGGCGAUGAUCCGAAUAUGCAUCUCAUCAACUUUAUUUCUACAUGCAAGUCUUUUGACAAUCCUGGAGUUGGUCAGAAUGCUAUUCGAUUACGUCUAUUUCCAUUGUCUCUGUCUGGGGAGGCAACAUUAUGGUUGAAUGGGCUGACUCCUGAUUCUAUUACAAAUUGGAGGCAAUUGAGAGACGCUUUCCUAGAAAGAUUCUUUCCGCCAUCCAAGAGGGCUCAAUUGAGAGAUGAAAUCAGCAACUUUCGUCAGCUUCCCUCUGAAGCUCUUCACGAAACAUGGGAGAGGUUCAAGACAAAGCUAGCGAGAUGCCCAAACCAUCACAUGACUAAUGUUCACCUCAUGGAGAUCUUAUAUAGAGCCUUGAAUUCAGUAACUAAACCAGUGGUGGACAACGCAGCUGGAGGUUCUUUUAUGGACCUCACCUUUGGUCAAGCAAGCAACAUGCUAGAUCGUAUGACGAAACAAAGUAGAGCUUGGCAUACCAGGGAUUCUGAGGUAGCAAGCCCCACUUUAUCUAUUGGCAUGUCUGCAGAUCAAAGAAGGAGAGAAGAAGAACGUGAUCAAGAUAUGGCGCACAUGAAAACCCAAAUGGAUCUUCUUACAAAGCAUCUAUUAGGGAAGACUGAAAAAGUGAAAUCUAUUGCGUCAAAAGGAAGAGACGAAUCUGAUUCAGAAGAGGAGGCCAACUACUUGAACAAUCAGGGGGGUUUCCGUGGGAAUGCCCAAGGAAACCAAGGUCGGAACUAUUAUGACAAAUCUGGAGGUAAAGACCAAGGUAGUUGGAAGAAAAAUAAUGAAAACAGUGGUUUGUACGUUCCCCCUGGUAGACGUGAUACCACCACAUCUAAUUCUAUGGAAGACAUGAUGGCUAAGUUAUUGAAAGGAGUGGAAGCGACGAAUGCGGGAGUUAAGGAGGUGAUUGACGAUUUGGCCUCCAUGAAGCAAUUAGUUGAUUCUCAUUCCACUUCUAUCAAGCAACUAGAGCAGCAAUUCAGUCAACUUUCAGCAACACUCAACCAAAGAAAAGCCGGCACCUUGCCUAGCGAUACGGUGCAAAAUCCAAGGACUGAUGGGUCAUGCAUGGCCAUCACUACGAGGAGUGGUAAGGUGCUGGAAACUUCAGCAGAAGGCAAGCAAAUAGUUGACAGAACAGCAGACACAACCGCCACACCUAGUGACGCCACUAGGGAAGACGCCGCAAUAUCCACUUCCAACGUCAAGGACGUGUUGCCUAGUGACGUGCAGCCUGAAAAAAGUAAUAAACGGAAGCAAGAGGAGAAGAAAGCCAUGGAAAGAACACUUCCAUACCCACCACCACCUUUUCCACAAAGACUGAAGAAGGCGGCCGAUGACACUAAGUUCAGCAAGUUCAUGACCAUCUUGAAGCAGCUGACUAUUAAUGUCCCAUUGGUAGAGGCACUUGAACAAAUGCCUGGGUAUGCGAAGUUUAUGAAAGAUCUUUUGACUAAGAAGAGGGCAGCAAGCUAUGAGCUGAAAGAAGAUGUGCAUCAUUGUAGUGCAAUAGCUACCCGAUCCAUAGUUCAGAAGAAGGCCGACCCCGGAGCUUUCACUAUUCCUUGCACCGUCGGAUCUUUGGACUUUGCUAAAGCAUUAUGUGACUUAGGAGCCAGCAUCAACUUGAUGCCAUUAUCAAUCUACAAGAAGUUGGGGUUGGGAGAUCCUACACCAACUAAUAUGAAGCUUGUUAUGGCGGAUAGGUCGGUAAAACGACCGGUUGGUAUUCUAUGCGAUGUCUUGGUGAAGGUAUCUUCAUUCAUAUUUCCAGCAGACUUUGUCAUCUUGGAUUGCGAAGCAGAUUCAGAGGUUCCCAUAAUCUUGGGACGCCCUUUCCUUGCUACGGGAAGUGUGCUCAUAGAUUUGAGAGCUAAUGAACUUUCAUUCCGAAUAAAUGAUGAAGUGGUGCGCUUUGAUGUUUGCAAAUCAAUGAAGCAACCCAAAGAUCUAAGUGUAUUUUCUGUGACUGAUGUUGUCGUUGAUGACGAGGAUGAGUUACUUGCUGAAGAACAAAUUCUUGAUGAUCCUUUGGAGGUUUUGCUCAUGGAAGAAGAUGAUGAUGAUGCUGAAAUUUCUGAAGAUGAUAUUUGUGCUCUAUCGGGAUUAGGAGCAUAUCGCUAUCCUCCUAAGAAGCUGGAUAUUGAUCUCAAGAAUCGACCCACACCACCAGCUAAGCCAUCUAUUGAAGAACCACCCACAUUAGAAUUAAAGGAGCUGCCAAGCCAUUUGAAGUAUGCAUUCUUAGGAAGCGGAAACACUCUUCCAGUCAUAGUGGCAGCCGAUUUAGGUGAGCAACAAGUUGCAGCUCUUAUUGCAAUUUUACGCAAGUAUAUUAGAGCUAUUGGAUGGACCAUUGCGGAUAUCCUUGGUAUUCCACCUGGAAUUUGCACUCAUAAAAUUCAGCUCCAAGAAAAGUGCACACCCACCAUCGAACACCAAAGACGUCUAAACCCACCAAUGCAAGAGGUGGUGAAGAAGGAGAUUAUCAAGUGGUUAGACGCAGGAGUUGUGUAUCCUAUUUCUGAUAGUACAUGGGUAAGCCCAGUACAAUGUGUUCCCAAGAAAGGAGGUAUGACGGUGGUUGCGAAUGCAAAGAAUGAGCUUAUUCCACUCAGGCCCGUCACUGGAUGGAGAGUAUGCAUGGACUACCGCAAGCUGAAUUCUUGGACUCUCAAGGAUCACUUCCCCAUGCCAUUUAUGGACCAAAUGCUAGAUCGAUUAGCGGGAAAAGGAUGGUUUUGCUUUCUUGAUGGUUAUUCAGGUUAUAAUCAGAUUUUUAUUGCACCAGAAGACCAAGAGAAGACAACGUUUACAUGCCCAUAUGGUACGUUUGCCUUCAAACGUAUGCCAUUCGGGUUAUGUAAUGCACCAGCCACCUUUCAGCGAUGUAUGAUGUCUAUUUUCUCUGAUAUGGUAGAAGACACUUUGGAGGUAUUUAUGGACGACUUUUCAGUUGUUGGGGAGUCUUUCGAAGCAUGUUUGGUGAAUUUAAGCAUGGCAUUACAAAGAUGUGUAGAGUUCAACCUUGUGCUGAAUUGGGAGAAGUGCCACUUCAUGGUAAAAGAAGGAAUUGUUCUUGGGCACAAGAUCUCCGAAAAAGGAAUAGAGGUUGAUCGCGCCAAAAUAGAGGUAAUUGAGAAGCUACCACCUCCAAUUUCGGUGAAGGGAGUUCGUAGUUUUCUUGGCCAUGCUGGGUUUUAUCGUAGAUUCAUCAAAGACUUCUCCAAAAUUUCUAGUCCAUUAUGCAAGCUAUUGGAGAAAGAUGCGAAGUUUGACUUUAAUGAUGAUUGCUUAAAGGCAUUUGAAUGCCUUAAAGAAAAACUCGUUGAAGCCCCUAUCAUGGUAACACCAGAUUGGACGCUCCCGUUCGAAGUCAUGUGUGAUGCUAGUGGUGUAGCCGUUGGUGCUGUUCUUGGACAGAGAAAGGAGAAAUUAUUUCAUCCUAUCUACUAUGCGAGUAAGGUCCUCAAUGAAGCCCAAAGGAACUACACCGUCACUGAACAAGAGCUAUUAGCGGUUGUGUAUGCGUUUGAGAAGUUCCGCGCCUACCUAUUAGGUACUAAAGUGAUCGUUCAUACAGACCAUGCAGCUCUUAGGUAUCUAAUGACAAAGAAGGAUGCAAAACCAAGGCUGAUUCGAUGGGUGUUGCUGCUGCAAGAGUUUGAUUUCGAAGUCAAAGAUAGAAGAGGUUGCGAGAACCAAGUGGCUGAUCACCUAUCUAGACUUGAGAAUGAGUAUGUGGCGCAAUCAGAAAAUCAGAUUGGCGAUGCAUUCCCUGACGAGGAGAUAUUAGCGACAACAAUAGAAGACUUACCAUGGUAUGCCGACUUUGCGAAUUUCGUGGUGAGUAAUGUGUUACCUACAAAUUUAUCUUACCACCAGAGGAGGAAGUUUAUGCAUGACGUUCAGCACUAUUAUUGGGAUGAGCCUUAUUUGUUUCGAAGAUGUGCGGAUGGUAUCAUUCGACGAUGUAUAUCCCAUGACGAAGUGCCCACUAUAUUAGAAGCAUGCCACACUUCGCAAGUUGGAGGACAUCAUGCGGGUAAUCGAACAGCAAGAAAAGUCUUGCAAAGUGGUUAUUAUUGGCCUACAAUAUUCAGAGAUGCACACGACUAUGUGAGAAGGUGUGACCAAUGCCAACGUCAAGGUGUUAUUUCAAAACACCAUGAAAUGCCCAUGUCCACAAUCCUGGAGGUAGAACUCUUUGAUGUAUGGGGUAUUGAUUUCAUGGGACCAUUCGUAAAUUCGUUUGGAAUGAAGUACAUCUUGGUUGCUGUGGAUUAUGUGUCGAAAUGGGUUGAAGCUGUAGCAUUGGCCGAUAAUGAAGGAAAGCGUGUUGUAGCGUUUUUAAAGAAGAAUAUCUUCUCUCGCUUUGGGGUACCUCGUACUAUCAUAAGUGAUGGAGGAUCUCACUUCUGCAACAAGCUAUUCAAAUCUGUAUUGGCCAAGUAUGGAGUCAAGCAACACAAGGUAGCUACGCCUUAUCAUCCCCAAACUAGUGGACAAGUAGAGGUUUCCAAUCGGGAGAUCAAGCAAAUCCUUGCCAAGACGGUCAAUGCGAAUCGGAAGGAUUGGUCUCGGAAGCUAGAUGAUGCACUAUGGGCGUAUAGGACUGCAUUCAAGACACCCAUUGGCAUGUCACCUUAUCAGCUAGUUUAUGGGAAGGCUUGUCAUCUACCCAUCGAGCUUGAAUACAAGGCAUUAUGGGCAUUGAAGCACUUGAAUCUGAAUUGGGAUGAUGUGAAGAACCUGAGGUUGGAGCAGCUGAACGAGCUAGAUGAAUUCCGUCUCCAUGCUUAUGAAAGAUCAGAUUUAUACAAGGAGCGGAUGAAGAAGUAUCACGAUCAGCGGAUUGUUCGACGACACUUCCAAAAAGGUGACAUGGUGCUACUCUUUAACUCCAGAUUCAAGCUCUUCCCAGGUAAGUUAAAAUCAAAGUGGUCUGGUCCAUUUAAAGUCACCCACGUCUACUCGUUUGGAGUAGUCGAAUUGGAAAAUAAUGAGGGUGUUAUCUUCAAGGUGAAUGGCCAACGUGUUAAGCCAUAUAUCGGUCCUCUUGACUCGAUAAAUGACAUGGCCAUCACUUAUCUCGACGAAGUCUAAGUACUCGAGAUUACUACGUCGAGCCACGACAAUAAAUAAGGCGCUAGAUGGGAGGCAACCCUUCGUUUUAUUGUUUUAUCGUUUUGUCGUUUUAGUAUUUUUUCUUUUUGAUAAAUGAAAAUCCAAAAAUAAGAGUCGUGCCACGACCAAAACUAAGGCGCUUGGUGGGAGGCAACCCAUCGUACUAAUCGUUUUCAUUUGUUUGAGCAAAUAUAGGUGUAAGAAGUAUGCAACGAGGAGAUUGAUUUCAAUUGACGAUUUGGUCGCGUCGUAUGGUAAAGGCGGUAAGUUAGGAAUGGUGAUGCAUAAGGCUAUGAAUUGAGCCUUUCUCACGUCAUAAUAGGCUUCGAGGAAGGCUAGGCCUUGGUAAAAAUAGGCCACGAACGAUGCACAACCUAUUCUAUAGCCUAAGGACUCGGAAUCUAGUGUGCUAUACCCUAUGCGCCGCCUAUUCCUAGGUGUGCUUUUGACUAUGCGCCGCCUAUGUCCCAUUAUGCCAUGGACAAUGCGCCGCAUAUACAUGUGAUAUGCCGAGGGAUAUGCGCCGCAUAUAGGGUGAUUUUGUCCCCAAAUCCGAUUGUAAAUGGGUCAUAACCCGACCCAUACUCCUCCUAUAUAAAGGGGACUUGUUUUUAUUUCACAAACACAUUAGAAUCAACCCUAAAGGCGCCGCAUAUCAUCCCAAAUCCUCUCAAAUUUUUCUUCCUUUGUUCUUCCAAUCCACAACAACUUCUCCACAAUCUUCAAGCAAGUAAGUGCUCUCUUAUUCUUCAUCUAUUUAUCAUGAGUACUACUUUACUAUGCUUAUUAUUAAAUGCUAAAUCACGUGAGAUUAGUGGUGAUGUUCAUGUGCUUGGAUAAUUGUUGCAAAAAUCGUAUGAUUGAAUGAAUACGAAUGCAAUUCUUGACUUGUUUCCGACUUGAAUUUUGUUUCAAUGGCAUUGUUAUGAUACUUGCUGAACAUAUAUGGCUAUGAAUAUUGCUUGAAAGUGUUGUUUGGAUGCUUGCAUGAUUCACCACCCCGGCCAUCGGGAUACGGUUAUAGUGACUAUCCACGUAGGAGGUAGUGUUGGUUGUUCGAAUAGCAAUUCCAUGUGGUAACUCCUAUGUUAUAGUAUCGCUAUAUGCACCAUGAAAGACGUCCAAAUGGCUGUUCAUAAGUGAUGUCAUGCUGAUUUUCUUGUCGGAAUACAAUCCGAGGACGUAUGUCGACGAAGUCUGAGUACUCGACCACUUUCACUUCACUGAUUUUUGCUAACAAGAUUAAGUGUGGGGUGGUACCCCUAAUGCUUGCAUAUAGAAUUGUCUAAAGUGCGAUUGUGCCGCAUCUAACAUUAUUUCUAGUCUCAGGUACAAUGGCACCGAAAGCAAGGCAAGGCAAGGAGAAGGCUACCACAACCCGCAAGGACAAAAAGAGAAGCCGAAAAGACCAAGGCGAAUCAUCUUCCGCACACCUACCACGCAGAAUGUUCGGAAUCAAAUGGGUUCUUGAGGAAGAAGCCAAGGCAUGGUACAGCAGCAACAAAGAAAAGAAAUAUGUGCACGUCGACUUAAUCAAUAAGGAGACCUUAGCAAAGAAGGAGCCGCAAAUGUUGGCUAAGAUUAUGGCUUUGAAGCUGGAUUUCAUCUUCCGUGACAUGGGAGAGUGCAAUCUUGACUUGACAAGAGAGUUUUAUGCCAACUGGUCGCCAAACACAACAGGCAACGAAGUCAAAAUUCGGGGCCAAGUGUUACAGCUUACAGCGGAUUGGAUCAACUCGUUUCUAGGCCUACCUUCGGUCGACACUGCACCAUACAAAGAGCUGUACAGCAGACCUCCUUACAGAGCUAUAAGACACACGCUUUGUGGAAGCAGAUCGAUGGCGAGAUGGGGCAGACAUAAGGAAACAGGCCGUCACAACACAUUCCCCUAUGCUCCACUAAAUAGGGAAGCAAGAAUCUGGAUGCGCAUUGUCAACUCAUGCCUCAUUCCUGGGACGCAAUACACAAAGAUAUCGAGAGAUAGAGUGUGCCUGGUUUAUUCAUUAAUGACGAAUGUCCCUAUCAACUUUGGGGCAAUCAUUCGAUCCACCAUGAGGAAAGCCAGACUCCACAGCAGGUCCUAUUUCACAUUCGGCAAUUUGUUGACAGCAAUGUUGCGGAAGGAGGAUAUAGAAGAGGAACCAGCUGACCACAAACUCCCACAUACCCCAAAGAAGGUUGACCUCACCAAGGUCAAAGAUGCUGAAACAACGCAUGGAGUCAACCUUACCACUGCGGAGAGACAUGCUCGUGACGAGAGUUUCUUCCGUCAUCUCUAUGGCAUGACGAGAUUCACUAUGAUGAGUGGUGGACGUAUUCCAACUGCUGAAGAGCUCCAACAGCUGGACCACGACUACCCAAUGAACAGACAUGCCCGGGAGAUGUGUGGAGUGGGAGUAUAUUUCGAGGAACCUCUUGAUGAUGACGUGCCAACUGAUGAUGAUAGACGCUUGCCUGAUUCUGAUGCUGAGGAGAACUCUGACGAUGACUCUUACGAUGACUCGAACGAAGGGGGUAUGACAUUGAGGAAGAGUCCGACUAAUCAGGUUCUUCGACUUUAUUUUCCACUGAGGGCAGUGUCUAGUCUAAGUGUGGGGUGUCGGCAGAAUCUGCAUGCUAUAUUUGUAUGUUUGCUUGUUUAUUUUGUUUUAUUUAUUUUGUUUUGAGUCCGAUUUUUUUUGUGAUUUUUUUCGUGUGACGUUUUUUUUUAGUUUUUAGUAGUUAAAAUUUUUCUAGCCUCGCAUGAAAUUAUUUUAAUAGGCAGCAUGAGAUUAUAACAAUAGUAUGUAUUACAAUUGUGACUAUUGAGACAUUUAGGCUCUAGUUGUGACUCAUUAUGUGAUAGUGUGUGAUUCAAUUCCUUCACUUGUUGGGUUGAGAGUCUAUAUUGCUACCAAUCAAGUCGACCAUGUGCCUUGUGUGUGUGAGAUAAUAGUAUAUUCUAUGUAUGUGGCUGAUGCUAGAACUUGCCUGGUAUGUAUGCAAAGCGAAAAUAAGGAGUGUAAGUUUAGGAUAUGAUUUAGGCAUUUCUUUGGCAACCUAUAUUUGUUUACCUUCAGUUUUACCUACCCAUGGACAUCAUCCUAGUUAAACCCUUUUGAGCCUUUAGCCUAUUUCUUUGACAACCUUGUAUGUAAGCCUAAUUCAUUUUUUUUCAAGACCGUAAUUUGAUCCAAAUUCCUAAGUGCUUUAAAGUAAAAAAGUCAUGUGACAACAUAAGAGGAAAUUGGUUGAGUAUGAUGCUUUAAAUUGUAAUGGUGCUUGAAUAUGUUAUGAAAAAGAAAGUGCUAUCAUAAGAGGUAUGUUGUGAGAAGAAAAAGGAAAAGAAAGCUGAAAAGUGAGUUGUGCUUUAAAAUUGAAAAACAAAAGAGGAGAACAAGGGUGCUACAAAAAAAGUGUCAAUAAUACAAUGUGAUGUAUUAAAGUGCUUAGGAACUUAGUCACUAUUUCUGGCCAAAAUAGUUGAUCCUACCCGUCCCUUAGCCUACAUUACAACCAUCAAAAGACCUACUUGAUCCUAACCUUAACAUUCCGACAUUUAGUGGAGUACUACAUUAAGGGCAAGCCUAUGGUCAUUAGCUGCUACAUAUGAAUUCUUUGUGAGAGUGAGCGCAAGGAUACUUUGCUGCCCAUGUUUGAAAAAUAUGCUAUACUUGUGAGUGAUUAUGGGUACUAUAUUGUGAGACACACAUGGUUGAUGAGUUUUGGAUAGUUGUAUAUGAUUCUAUGUACCUUAAACGUUUGCAUGCGAGUUGAUCACCAUCACGAGUCUAUGCUUGAGGUUAAAUUGUUUCUACUUAUAAUCGGAAAGCUACUCUUCGUUGAUAAUUGUUGUGCUUGUCUUGAAGAAUGUUUUGUGUUGUUUCUGUAAAAACCUUAAGUCAAUGCUUAGAAGGACAUGAUAUGUUGUUCGAGGACGAACAAAGCUCUAAGUGUGGGGUGUUGAUGAUAGGCGAAAUUACGCGCCUAUAUCAAUAUAUUUUGCCCAUAUUUUAGCCUAGUUUCGAGAACUAAUUAUCUAUUUCGUACACUUUUAGUCCUUUUUCCUGUAAAUGAGCUAACAAAUGUGAUUAGGAAAGUUUCAGGUAUAAAUGAUGCAAAAUACAGCAAUUUAUGGCUUACUUGACGCAAAAGAAAGCUCACAAACGAGAUGGAAAGGAGCUGGACGCAUAAAGGACUAAAUCUGCUGCAUGGAAAAUCUGUCCCGGGCUAAAACAGCAUUUCUGAAGACUUUGGGACUUACAGACACAAAGCUGGAUUUUUGCCAUAAUACAUUAACCUAGUGCAAUUAGGUUAUGUGUUUCAUCAUUCUAUUUGGAUUAUAAUUUUGUAACCUUACCCUAGUACAAUUGGGUCAAGGAUUUCAUUAGUAUAUUAGGAUUUGGUUAUUUAUUUUAUUAGUUUAGUAGGAGUAGGAUAGGAGUAUUAUAAAUACCCUAUCAUGUUAGAGAUUUUCAAGAAGGGAGACAUUCUGACAAUUCAUUCAUCUCCUUACAAUUAAGACAUCUUCCUACAACCCAUUCUCAAUUCUUCAUUCUUCUACUCUUAAAUUCCACAACAAGAGAAUCGUUACUUGCUACGGAAUCACUAAAACCACACGCCAAACACCUACUAUUCACGCCAUCCACCAUGCAAAACGUGAUAUCCUUCGCAUUCAUGGGUAACUAAAUCUCUUAGUUGGGGUUAUGGAAGCCGAAUGAGUUACUAUCUAUAGCUAUGAGUUUGUGAGUUCAAGACAAGUAUAUUGCUUAUAUCAUUAUUCUCUUCAUCUUAAAUCUACAUUCUUUGCGGUUCAAACACAAGAACACGCCAUUCUAACAUCUAACCUGUUCGAGAGAAAGGUUAUUUGUCUAGAAAAGAAGACGCAUAGACCAACGCCAGUCUAACAUCUGACUUGUUCGAGAGAAAAGUUAUUUGUCUGGAAAAGAGAUAAUGUCAAGGUAGUAGGACACCCUUUCCUAUUAAAAAGCUAGUGCCGUACCUGGACUAACUUCUUGGAGAAUUCGUACCGUUAGUCACGCUUUAAGCUCGAGAGAGUUAAAGUGAAAUAGUCCUUGUUUAGGUCGAGAGACGCUUGGAUUUACCAUCGACUACAAUUCUCUAUAAGCAAUUACAUGUCAAGACUCUACACACUCAUAGCCAAUAGAGACGUAUACCUCAGAAGGUGGACAUAACCCCAACGCCUCAAUUCUCAUUGUUUACAACACACGUGACAAUCUCUCUUUAUUUUGCUAUUUUCAGUUCUUACAUUCUUGUUUUGGUUACAUACUACAAUCCCCCCUUUCCUACGAAACUUGCACUAAAAGUCUAGUAAUUUCUCUUGCUUGUUGGCCAAGCUAUUCUCUGUGGGAUCGAUACCCAACCCAGGUUGGGUUCUAUAUUUGCUAACGACCGCUUUACACUCCCACGAGAGCUGUAGAUUGAGCGUUAUCAGAAUGUACUGAGUAUGUAGACGAGGUAGGCUAAUGCAAGGGCUCAUACAUGCACAAUAUCUAAACUGAAUAAGCACGAAGAUGUUGUAUGUGAACACAUAUAUGAAUGCACAGACCAUGAACACAAUCAUCGCAACUCUAGAUACUAAAACUCGAAUAUCGCUUUACUGCAGACUGAACUCACUACUAAUACUGAGAUACUAAAUCAUUGACUUAUCUGAUACAGAUAAUUGAGAGUCUGGAUGUACUCAUAUCAAGGACUAAAUUCUGAGCUUACUGCUUUUGACUAACAAAAUUAGAGAUCAACUUUUCUAACAGAUUAUUUUGGAAGCGAUAAUAAAUAAUAAGAGGUAUGAUCAUGUCCGAAUCUGACAACAAGAAUACUCAAUAGAAUCUAAGAUGGAGAUCAAGCCUAUCGGGUGGGAGAUCUAUAAAUAUGAUAAUAAGAAUACUCAACAUAGUCUGAUACUGAGAUCAAGCCUCUCUGACAGGAGUUCUCUAGAUAUGAUAAUAAAAAUCUGUAUAUUAGACCAAGCCUAUCUGAUGGGAUGGUCUAUGAAUCAAUGAAACUAUCUGAAUUCCUCACUGAGAUAGACGACUAUACCACACAGUCUUGAUUUCUGAAUAUUGAUACUAAAACUGCAACUGUGAGAAGUAGUUACUUAACCGACAUACCUCAACCUACCACAGGUGGGGUCCAACCUGUAACUCCAGCUGGAAGGGUGUCAAUACCAUGCCACGAGUAAAGACCUCUCUGGUCAAGCCUCUCUAACAGGAUAACCAUCGCAGGAAGUCAGCCUGAGAAAAUAUAAUAGUCAAACCUCUCUGACAGUGAUAGCCUCUACUGACGGGAACUCUUGCAUCCUAUGCUGGCUACAUAGUUUGGGAGUUCAGGGAUUGUUCCUAGUUACUCGGCCUCUCUGAUAGGAGAGCCGCUAUCCCUUCCCUCGCUCGGUGCUAGCUUCUACUCCCAACUAAAAGACUCUGAACUGAAUUCUCAACUGAGCACAAUUGAACUGAAUCUGAUACUGAUCAUGUUUCUCAAAAGAUUUGACUAAGUUAUGCUGAGAUUACUUAGUUCUGUAUCUGACGAAAAAAGUAUCGAAUCAUGGUAUCUGACUGACGAUACAUAGCUUGAAUAGAUUACUCAAAUCACUCCUAAUAUUAGAAUUAAAUCACUUGAAUAAUAUUAUAUCUGAGAUGAUUACAGGGUUGAGGCUAGAUUACUAGCGAUAUAGAGAUUACAGAGAUAACUGAGAUUAUUGAAUUUUAUUAAGUUCUGCACUUAUCUGAGGAUACAGAAUUCUAUAGUUCACUAAGUUCUAAGAAUCAUGGAUCGACUGGAAUUAUCAAGAAACUGACAUGGGAUCUACACAACAGCUCUAUUAUCGGGUAUAAAUACCCUAGGACUCGAUAGUAUAAAAGUCAAGCAUAAUCAUUCAUUCAUCAUCACGAUCGUUCAUAUAUCAUCACAAUGCAUCAUUAUAAUUAUUAUAACAUCACCUCAAGCAUUUAACGAUCACAAACAUCUUAUUUAUUAUCACAAUCACCAAGGGGUCACUUUAAGCAUCUCGAAAACAUAAUCAUAUAAUAACGUAGUGAAACAUGCUACUUGAUUGUACUCCAUUCAACAAGGUUUUACCUCAACUAUUUCAUACCUAUAUCAAUCUUGACAUAUUUUUGGAUAUCACAUGACUUAAGAAACUUCAUACUAUCAUGGAAUAAUUCAUUCACUUGAGCAUUUUAUCAAACACAAGGCAUGCAUAAACUAACUCACAAUUUGGGGUUUCAUCUUCAACAUGCUACAAUGGCCCUUCUGCUUCACCUAAGCUCUUUAUCAAACCUCAGGGGAACAUUCUUUGCUUAUUCAACCAUUUCUACACCCAUUUGCCAUAAACACAUCACAUAGAAAACCACAUAAGGGAGAUUCAUCACAAAUAUCACAUGGAUUUCACCUACUAGGGUUAAUACUCAUGAAUCUUGGAAACAAACAUGAAUCAAAACUCAACAACACAUUGAACAUCAAUUUUAACUCAUACAAAUCAUUAAAAUCUCGUAAACAUAAAAAUCUUUGAGUUUAGAAAAGGGUUCUUGAGCUUCUUGGAUGAAAGAGACCCAAGAAUUAAUAUCUACAUACCUUAAUCUUUGAAAUUGGAUGAAUUCUAAUGCUUGAGACUCUAUCCGCACUUGUAAUAAGUAAUUCUUGAAGCCCACACUUUAAGGUCCUUGAUUCUUGAAGAAAUCUUGAAGAAUUAUGGAUGAAUUUUUGGAUGUUUAGGGUUUUGGAAUGAAACCCUAGUUAUAUCUUCUUAAGAAAAUUGAGAGAGAAGAUGGAGAAAUUAGGAUUUAGAGGUGGAUGCUCAUAUUUUUAGAGACCUUCAAAAGAUGAGAAAUGACCAAAAUACCCUUGGAAAAACGUCCUUAAAUUAUUGGAAAAAAAUAGCUGACGACAUCCGUGACAAGCCGUCAAAUUGGUGAUAGGCCAUCACAAAUUGUAGUCAUAAAAGGGUAAAAUUUUGAGUUUCUAGUUAAGGUUGACAACAUUGGUGAUAGCCCAUCACGGGCAUGACGGCUUAUCACAAUUGUCGUCACCAGUUUCUCAGCAAGACAUGCUAGAGUAAAAUAGACAUAACUCUUUACUCCGAUAUCAGUUUUUGAUGAAAUUGGUAUAAUUGGAAAGAUAAUUCAAAGAGAUUUUAUUUGAUAUAUAGUAGGUCCUCUAAUUCGAUAUAUACAAGGAGUUAUGGUUGAUUGAAGUUGACCUAAAUUUUGACUGCCACUAAAACUUGAACGAUAGGAAAAAUUUCAACUCGUCCUUGAGUUAGGGGACCUAUAUGAUCUUAAUUCAUGCUCACAUAGAUUCCCACACGAUUCAAAGUAUUUCAUAUUUGGAAAGAUAUUUUUGAAACAUUUAGACUUAGAUUUUUUCUUUACCAAAUACGAUCUAAGGCUCAGACUGGAAGAGAAUUUUAUGGGGCAUUACAAGAAAACUACUGAGAAGGUGUGUGGGUAAGGCGAGGAUAAGGAAUCAUAGCAUUUUGCCUUGACGAUGAGAAGGAGGAUUGAAAAUUUUUUGAAUAUUGAACAUAUUUUUCAUAUUGCAGAUUGUUACUUGAGUUCGGUUCAAACGCUAGACAAUUUUCAAAUAAAAAUAAGUAAGGCAAAAUUUACUACAUAAUGCAUAAUUUCAGCACAGAAUAAAAACAAAACAAAGUCAUUCUAGGAAGAAGACUAAGCCUUAAUAAGCGUUUUAGGCGUAAAUAUUUGAGCUCCUAACGCACAAAACUUGAUAGUUAUAGAACAUAAUGUUGAAUUUACAAUUAUGACUGCAAAGAAGAUAAGAAAAAUAGGAAAUAGACAUGGUCAACUUUCGUUGAACAUCAGAUUUGUUGAUUCAUAUGGUAUUAUUGAUUCAUCCAACUCCAUAUAUACAAAUGAUAAAGCAGGGGAAAAUAAAGUUUUAUUAUGGUGAGACCAAACUCAUAAAUGAGUGCCUACUAUCCCUCAUAUAGGGGAAUCAGGUCGACCGUAGUUCACAUUACCUAAGCAAGGAAGACAUAAAAAGGAAAUUGCAGAAUGUUAAACUUGAAGGAAUUUCAAAUGUUGAGAGUCUGGAGCAGAGAAUCAACAUGAUAUCCUCUACACUAAUGUAUCACACUUGCACAUCAAUCCUAUUAAAUCAAUCAUCAUCACAAUUCAGCUUCAUCACACUUAUCACUUUGUCGUCAAUCAGUGCUUGAAUUUUAUCUUUCAAAGUUUGACACUCUUCUAUAGUGUGUCCUUUCAUCCCUGAAUAAUAAGCACAAGUUUUAGAACAAUAAAACCAUGGUGAACAUGUGUUCAUGACAAUUGCAGGAAUAGGAGUGAUAUAGCCAAUCAUCCUCAAUCUCUCAUAAAGUUAAGGUAUGGGCUCAACCAAAGGGGUGUACUGUCUUGGUGGGUUUUCUGAAGCUUAUGUCGAGGUAUGGUGGAUCAUUUAUUUAUUGGUUGACUUGGGUAAGAAACUAGAAUGUAGAUUGAUAUUAGAACAAAUAAAUAGAAGUGGGUACCAAACUGUCUGUGAAAGAGGUUUUGUGAACGAGUGAGGAUGAUAGGUUGGACAUAAUUGGAGGUUGGAAUGAUUUUUGGAGCUGGGUACGAUAUCAGUUGAGGACUGAUUACUUCAGGCUUCGAAGGUUUGAAUGUCUAUUCAAUGAUCAUCUUUCCCAUAUUCUUGAAUUGUGGCUUAACUAAAUUUUCCUCAACUAUGAGCUUCCUUUUUAGCUUAUUGUCGAACCACCUAACAAAGUCAGUUUCAAAAUGAUACCAAGAAACCCAUUUGCUAGUAUCAUUUUUGGUGUACCACAUCAAUAUUGGACCCUUAAGUGAACUAAUAAAGACUUUCAUCUUUAGGCUAUCACUUUGUCCUAUAAUUGAUAGCUUGUUGAGGUACUUCUUCAAAUGGGAAUGCGGGUUUCCCAUCCCAUCAUAUAAUGGAAAGUUCUGACCUUCUAUUCUCUCCUUGUCUUCUUUCCUUAAUUUGAAUGACUUAUUCAUUUUGGGUUGUUGAGAUGAUCCCGCCUCAUCGUUAGGAAUUUAUCCUUUCGUCUCUUUUUCCUCACUAGUAUUUGUCAACUCAAUAAGUGCUUUUAGCAAUGCAAUUGAAAACUGACUUGGGAACAUAUAUGUAUCACAAUCAGGCAUAGGUGAAGUUGUUAAUAUAGGAGACUCCGUGGUGUGGAUGGAAGGGUUGAAGUUUGUUUCAGGUAGCGGCUCUGGAACACCUGGUGGCAUCUAAAGCAAGACUCCAAUAUCAUUCAUUAUUCCCCCAAUUAGCACUAUUAUUCUUCCUAACCUUCUGAUGCUCAAAAUAGCUCUAUUUUGAUGCAACCCCAAACUCUCGUGCUCUGCUUCGCUGUUGACAAGAUUGAUAAGAAUCGCUUGACUGGCCAUUUUUGAUUUUCAACUUAAGUCAACCUUAGAAGAAAGGAUUUAUAAUUAUAAACAAAGAGCACGCGCGGGAGUCUAGGAUAAAUAUUCUACUCAUUUUAAACUAAUGACUUAUGCUCAUUCGGAGUGAAUAGACGGUAUGAGAGCUCUAUGUUGUGAAAGUUGGAGUACGACAUGAGUAUGAUAGUAUUGAAAGGAUCAUGUGGGACAUAGUAUAUAAUCCUUGGAAGCAUUAGGAAAGUACAUCCUAUAAUGAUAAGUUGAACUAAAAGAUUGUGAAUGAGACUGAAAAUCCUUAUCAAAGUGAGAGUUGAGCCUAGAAAUGAUUAGUAUACUAAUGGAUGAGUCAGGAGGAUAAAUUAAACGUUGGUAUUGUAUAGGCCCUAAGAGUGUAUUGUAGGGACCUAACAUGAUGAGAAUUUUAAGAGUAACAAGCUCUAAAGUGAGAAAAACUAAAUGGAAGGAGUGACUAAGGUGAGAACGAAAAACACAAGAUAGGCAAGAUGUCAAUACAUACAUAGAAUUGCAACACAUAGAAAAUAAUAGUGAGUCCCUUUGAGGUCGUGACCUUUUUGGAAUUUGAAUGAGACUAACAUUAAACGCAUCAAGGAUGACAGGGCAUCCUACAUUGAAGUGGACGCAUAUUCCUUAAUAAAAUAAAUAUGUAGCGAAGACCUAAAGGAAAAGAGUGGGUUUAUGACAUGGUUUCCUCGAGUGGACUACUCAAGAGUGAGACAUCUUGUGACUGUCGACGCACUGUAGAUUGACCAAUCCACAAGAUAUUUCCCGAAGGGUGUUUUAGGAAAGAACAUUCAUGUACCCACACAACUGUUUGUAAAAGAAACUAAAUGAGGUUUCCAAGUAGAGGAAAGUAUGGGAGGAAUGCCAGUUAUAUAAAGCAGUAGCACAUAGCAAAAUACAAUAGCAUGCUUGGUGAUAAAAAUAUAAAACACGUAGGCAACAAAAGGGGAAAAACUAGAGGAGAUAGGCAUGGAAACAAAUGAAUACACAUAAAAGGGGAAGGGAGAAGAGACAAAUAUGUAGAAAUGAAUCAUGAUAUAAACAAUUAAAGGAAAAGAGAGAAAGUGAUUACGGAAAAUAAAACAAGCAAAGUGAAAGAAUCCCACAUAAAAGACAAACUCGUAAUGGUUAGAACCUAAGAUCCCCAAUAGAGUCGCGAUUCUAUUGUGCCUCAUUUUCCUCAUGAAAAGCGAGAUUUGACAUGAUAAACUCUUUUUGGGAUAUUGUUUAAGGAAGAGUGUGAAGAGUCACCAUCUAAAGAAUUAAGGUGCGUUAGAGCACUGGUCUAGGCUAACUACGAACCUAUUUUAUCGUUUAGUCUUAGUUCACCAGAGAUUGGGGUAAGGGUUCAAAUUACCUCGAGAGAAAGGUGUUAGGCACCUUUCGAGGUCCACAAAGGUGGUUCCCGGCUAAAUUCGUAUUUUACGUGGGGAUUCUAUGUGAUCAACUAUAGGUCUCUUGUUUUAUUAUUAACUUGAAUGUUGACUAAGUGAUAAAGUAACAAGUAAACAAAAAUGUUAUUUUAUUAUUUCUAAUCAUUAACUGAAUGGUGAUAAAAAAAAAGAUAACAAAUAAUGUAAAUUAGAGAAGCGAGAAGAGGAAAAAAAAUUUAUAAAAAAAUAUUUAUUAAUUUUAAAGACCUAAACUACCCCAAGCGACAAGUAUGUAAAGUAAAUGUAAAGAAAGGAAGAAAUCAUCAAAUCAAACAAAGAAAUAUUUUAGUCUCAUUCAAAUCAAAACCCCAACUUGUUUAAUCAUCAUUUGUUCCACUGGAUGAACUCUUAGACAAGUCAUAUGUCUUACCUUUAAUGUCUGUUGGAGAUCAUCACUUUCGAAUGACUACUCAUCCCACCCCACCUAGGCUGGUUGUUAACUCUAAAGACGUUCUUUGACAUGGAUAGAACUAGCGUCUUUAGUAAUACCUAUCGUCCAAGAGGCAUUGGACUUUGUUAUUUUAGUUUUGUGGUCUAUACAAAAUAAAUCUAUGUUGCCUAGGACUCAAAAUGCGUAACAAGUAGGACGUCACGUAGCACAUAAUUGUCCCAAGUUAGCUUAUUGGUUAAUUAAAGUUGAUUAAUAUGAUCAGCAUGCAAAGACAAAUAAUUACUAACUUUUGAUGUCAUUAACCUAUAGGUAUGAUGUCUACGUGUUCAACAAGAUAAAACAUAAAUGUGAUUCAUGUCUAAACAAUGUGUUGUCAAGUUGUUAAAAGAGGAUGUCAAAGUGCGGUAAAUAUGUCAAAGAGUUGUGCUCAUGACUUUCAUUGUGCAAGUGUUGUAAACAAAAUAUCAAAAAUGCAUUAAUAUGAUAAGACAUCCAAUGAUGCACUUAAUCUAGUGUUUAAUAUGUUGAAAUGCUCAAAAACUUACUUUUUAACUUGCUGGGAAUUGUGUUAGUGCACUGGAAUUUCAUAUUGACAUGCUGAAAAAUGCGAAAACAUGCUAAAAAUGCCCUAACGUACUGAAUAUUAAGUCAAUAGUGUAGGAAUUUUAUAUUAACACGCUGGAAAGUGGAUGACAUGCUGAAAUCGGGUGUUAACAUGUAAAAAAAGACUUUCACAUGCUAAAAAAUAUGUUAACAUUCUUGGAUAUGCUUAACAUGUCGCUAGAUAUGCUAACAUGCUUGAAAAUACAUGAACAUGCUUAAUUCUAAUGUAAAAAUAUAUUAAUAUGCGGGAAUUUAAUUGCUGACAUGCUAAAAAGCGUGAUUGAAUUCAUGUUAACAUGUUUAAUAUGCUGAAAGUUGGUUGAAUCUAUUGUUUAACAUAUUACCAUGCGGGAAUGUUCAGUAAUUUACUGUCAAUAUACUGAAAUUUGUUUUAUCAUGACUAAAUUGUGUGAGGUGCCAAACAUGAAAUGGUGUGUUAAUAAGUUGUAAUUUAAGUGUCUAAAUGCUUCGAGUAUUAGGUGGUUCACAUAGCAUGCAAUACACAUAAAAGACUAGGUCAUAUUUACCUCUGUUAUUCAUAGAGCAAGUAAGUCCCCACAUUUAUUAUUACAACAACGUCUUUACAAUAAUAUUACAAAUCCAAGUAAUAAUAAAAUAAAUAAUAAUAACAAUUAAUUUUAAAGAAUAACAUAGUCUGUUUAAACAUCCCGGCGACUCUUCGAUUUUCAAACCUAUUGAACACAAUGAAAUAGCAUGGCAAGAAGAAAAGAUAUACGAAUAUGUUGUCCUAAACAGAGGAACAAGGGAAACGAAGGCAUAGGAAACAAAGGCACAGUAAGCAAGCACAGCGUCAUCAUUUUAAAUUAAUCCUUAUAGACAUGUUUUCUAUGUUUUGCUAUCACAAAUAGUAUGAAAUAAGAAAAUAAUGCAUCGAUUAGUGACUUACCGGUGAGCAGUAAACAAAAUAAGAUAAUAAGCAGGUUGUUGAAGUAAAGAACUCGUAACAGUGAGAGAUAUUUCCUUAAACCCAAAAAGAAAACCAAAGCUUAAGAAAUCCUAUUUUUUCGUACAGACAAAGUAUAUGUUGAAGUCAGUAAGUCGUAUAUCCAUCUCUUGCAUAAAGAAAGGGAUUGGGUUUAUAUAGGCUGAGUGUUGUGAAGCUAAACCAACACAAAAAUGGAAAAACAGUAUUUUUGUAAAUCAAUUAAGAGAAUCAAUUAUAAAUCAAUCACAGAAUAAAAGGAAAGUCAAUAUUUUGAAAAGUUAUCCACCACAAUGUUUUCCUUAGGCAAAGUUCAAUUAAAAUAAGAAGAAAGAUCAAGACUGUCCUAAUUAAAAAUCAAAUCCCCUAAUUAUUGAAAUUUACAUUAUAUAGGUGAGUACAAAGUUAUCACAUAUUCAAAAAAAAAGUAAAUUAAUAAUACAUAUGCUGGGAUCAAUCACUAAUGAAUUAAGACGUCAAUAAUCAAGUGAGAAAGAGAAAAUUUUGUCCAAUUUACCAUAAAUAGACUUGUAAAAAUAGCAAAAUCAUGAGAAUAUCUACAAGUGAUCGUAUAAAGAUAUAAAAAGAAACUAAUCACGCUCCCUUAAUUAUGAUCCCCAAUCAAGAUCAGCAAAGUUAAACCCUUUUGAAUUUUCACGGAUAAUAACCAGGACAAGUUGACUAAUACAAAUCACAAAGAAAUUAGCCAAACAUCUUAAUCAUAUUUCAUUACCUUCAAAUUUAGAAAUCCACCAGGUCAAAUUAAGGGAAUGAAGAUCGUAUAUGGGCAAAAAAGAGUGAAACUUUAACAAUAAAAAUGGGUCACAAAAUUGAACCUGCUGGGUUCUUAGGAAUCCAUCAUUCUUCGGUGAUAAAGAUUUGUCCUCUAAUUAUGUAGGGAUACUUAACUGAUGGUGGGAGAGGGAGAAGAUGUGGAAGUUCACAGGGCAUGCUUAGGCGGCUGCAUGGCUAUUGUGCAUCAGUAGUGGCAUCAGUGGUAGAUUCAUCGGUGAAGACGGAUAGUGGCUUGUGUGGGUCAAAUCUAGGAGACGGAGGACUUGGUGGCGCUGGUCGACUGCCUUUCGGGGUUGGUGUUGAUGGCAGAGGAAGCGGGUGAUGGAUGGAGUUCAUCGCAGCGCCGAACGAAGAAAAAUAAAGGUGUGGAGGCUGCUUGGCUUGCUGGCAAUAGAGAUCGGAUAAGAGAAGGUAGAGAGGGAGGUGGAUAUAUU